rnacentral:rRNA from 1 species
CUACGGGGGGCUGCAGUGGGGAAUAUUGCACAAUGGGCGCAAGCCUGAUGCGGCCAUGCCGCGUGUAUGAAGAGGGCCUUCGGGUUGUAAAGUACUUUCAGCGGGGAGGAAGGGAGUAAAGUUAAUACCUUUGCUCAUUGACGUUACCCGCAGAAGAAGCACCGGCUAACUCCGUGCCAGCAGCCGCGGUAAUACGGAGGGUGCAAGCGUUAAUCGGAAUUACUGGGCGUAAAGCGCACGCAGGCGGUUUGUUAAGUCAGAUGUGAAAUCCCCGGGCUCAACCUGGGAACUGCAUCUGAUACUGGCAAGCUUGAGUCUCGUAGAGGGGGGUAGAAUUCCAGGUGUAGCGGUGAAAUGCGUAGAGAUCUGGAGGAAUACCGGUGGCGAAGGCGGCCCCCUGGACGAAGACUGACGCUCAGGUGCGAAAGCGUGGGGAGCAAACAGGAUUAGAUACCCGGGUAGUC